GUUUGAAGCUCCAGUGAGGGAGCAGUGGCUGGGGUGGCCCAGCUUCAAAGUCUCUGUCCUCUUGAAAAUAGGUGGUCGGGGGACAUUGACCCACCAGCCCCGCAGGCUACUGCCUGCAAACAAGAACCCCUCAUCUGCCACGCACGUUCUUAAUGUAUCUAUAGUCCGCUUGAUGCCACAAAGGAGUCCAGACAGAGUCUUGCUCUGUCACCCAGGCAUGAACCACUGUGCUCGGCCCCACUGUCCCUUGAUGGUUACUCUGUGGGCAGGCGGGGGUGAGGAUGGAGGGGCAAGGGCCCGUCCUGAGGCUGCAGAGAAGGUCUUGGUGAAGGAAGAUGAGGUCUGAACAGGGUGAGAGAGCAGAGACUGGAAAGGGACUGAAGAUCACGAGCCCCGGGAAGAAUUCUUCCUCAGCAUCAGUGUAAACUGUUUAUUUCCUUUCACAGAGGAAGAAACUGGGGCACAAAGAGGCCGCCCAAAGCUGCACAGCUAGCCAAUGGGAGAGCCAGGAUUUGAACCCAGCAGCUGACUGGAGUGGGGUGGGGGUGAGGGGCGGAG
rnacentral:sRNA from 1 species